AUACGGAGGGGACUAGCGUUGUUCGGAUUUACUGGGCGUAAAGCGCGCGUAGGCGGUUUGGAAAGUCAGAUGUGAAAUCCCAGGGCUCAACCCUGGAACUGCAUUUGAAACUAUCAGACUAGAGAUUGGGAGAGGUAAGUGGAAUUCCGAGUGUAGAGGUGAAAUUCGUAGAUAGUCGGAGGAACACCAGAGGCGAAGGCGACUUACUGGACCAAUACUGACGCUGAGGUGCGAAAGCGUGGGGAGCAAACAGGAUUAGAAACCCUAGUAGUCC
rnacentral:rRNA from 1 species